UUACACAUGCAAGUCGAACGGAAGUUAGCUUCGGUUAAUUUUAGUGGCGGACGGGUGAGUAACACGUGAGAAUUCGCCUUUAGGAGGGGGAUAACGGAUGGAAACAUUCGCUAAAACCCCAUAUGCCCCUGGGUGAAACAGAGGAGAUAAGUAAUACUGACUCACCUCUGCCUGAAGAGAAGCUCGCGGCUGAUUAGCUAGUUGGUAGGGUAAAGGCCUACCAAGGCGACGAUCAGUAGCUGGUCUGAGAGGACGAUCAGCCACACUGGAACUGAGACACGGUCCAGACUCCUACGGGAGGCAGCAGUGAGGAAUUUUCUGCAAUGGGCGAAAGCCUGACAGAGCAAUACCGCGUGAGGGAUGAAGACUUACUGAGUUGUAAACCUCGGUGCCUUAAGGAAGAAGAUCUGACGGUACUUAAGGUGGAAAGCAUCGGCUAACUCCGUGCCAGCAGCCGCGGUAAGACGGGGGAUGCAAGUGUUAUCCGGAUUUACUGGGCGUAAAGCGUCUGCAGGUGGUUUCUUAAGUCUACUGUUAAAUCUUGAGGCUCAACCUCAAAUCUGCAGUAGAAACUAGGAGACUUGAGUAUAGUAGGGGUAGAGGGAAUUUCCAGUGGAGCGGUGAAAUGCGUAGAUAUUGGAAAGAACACCGAUGGCGAAGGCACUCUACUGGGCUAUUACUGACACUCAGAGACGAAAGCUAGGGGAGCAAAUGGGAUUAGAUACCCCAGUAGUCCUAGCCGUAAACGAUGGAUACUCGAUGUCGGACGUAUCGACCCGAGCCGUGCCGAA
rnacentral:rRNA from 1 species